rnacentral:rRNA from 1 species
AGCGAACGCUGGCGGCAGGCCUAACACAUGCAAGUCGAACGAACUCUUCGGAGUUAGUGGCGGACGGGUGAGUAACACGUGGGAACGUGCCUUUUGGUUCGGAAUAACUCAGGGAAACUUGUGCUAAUACCGAAUGUGCCCUUCGGGGGAAAGAUUUAUCGCCAUUAGAGCGGCCCGCGUCUGAUUAGCUAGUUGGUGAAGUAACGGCUCACCAAGGCGACGAUCAGUAGCUGGUCUGAGAGGAUGACCAGCCACACUGGGACUGAGACACGGCCCAGACUCCUACGGGAGGCAGCAGUGGGGAAUCUUGCGCAAUGGGCGAAAGCCUGACGCAGCCAUGCCGCGUGAAUGAUGAAGGUCUUAGGAUUGUAAAAUUCUUUCACCGGGGACGAUAAUGACGGUACCCGGAGAAGAAGCCCCGGCUAACUUCGUG